AUGAGGAAGACUUUAUUGACGAUAAUGAUCUUGAGAUGUACUCUCCUUUACAUAUGCCAAAUAGUGGAGGUAGCUUGAAAUUUUGGAAGACUUCUCUAACUUUGAGCAACAUAAAAUUUGAAGAUUCAAUGUUUCUCUCUUUCUCUC